UUUGUUAACAACACAUUAUGUUGACAAUAAGACUUCAAACUGCGUUGCGGAUGGUAUAUAUCAGAUAUAAGUUCGCUACGUAUCUCUCAAAAUAGCAAUUCCGUUCUACUUUCUGCGAUAACAGUUUCUACCUUCUGCGAUAAAGUUUGUUAUCGUGAAAAUAUAAAGUACAAGACAUUGUUUUGUGAAUGUGUGUCGUUUUUAAUAUUAAAUAUCGCGUUUCGGGACAAUUAAUGCAUAUGCAUUAUUCGUGACUUACAAAAAAACAAAUACAGGCUAGCAGAGCAGAGUGUUAUACAAAUUCAGUCAGUUAUAUCUUCAAUUCUGUACGAAUUUCUCGUGAGCAACGUGACAUACAAGAAACAUUUAAAUGAUGUCUCUACAACCGUGGAUACAUAUACGUCAUAAUAUUGAUAUACCAUGGAAGACUUUCAUCAGGGAGUCUUCCAAUGCACAGGAUAAAUCCCCAGAAAAACAUAUUCAUCAGUUGGCCUUUCAAGGAAAUGAAGCUAAAACUGCCUAUGAAGAAAUUAUUCAUCAAAAUAAUAGCAAUAGCAGUGCCACAGCGACAAGAUUAAAGUAUUUUAAAUCAAAGGUUGGUGGAAAUCAAAAUAAUUCUGGUGUAAAUCCAGUUUCUAUUAAUGCGCAAUCAAAGAAAACGAUAGUUCCUGAAGAUGUUUUGGCAAAAGUCACUAUCAAUACAUUGCUAAAAGCAGUAGAGCAGAAAGAUUUGAAGUUUCUACAAAAAUAUAUGACAUCAGAAAAUGUGAAUGUGUGCGAUGAUUUUGGGUGGACUCCGUUAAUGUCUGCUGCUUACUGCGGUCAUUUGGAGAUUGUGCAAUUUUUAUUGAAUCUUGGGGCUAACAAAAGAACUAGAGAUAGGUCUGGUCUCACUGCAGCCCAGUUAGCUUUGAAAAAAAAUUAUUUAAGCAUAGUUGCAUUACUUAAGAAAAAGUCUGAGUCAGUGAACAAUAAUAAUCAAUCAUCUGCAAAUAUAUCUAGAUCAAAUAAUACGAAUGCUUUACCAAUGAGACCAAUGUCUAUAGAAUCUUCUAAGGAUCAUGAUAGGGAUGUCCACAAUAUCAUUGAAAAAAAAGCACAGUCGCAACAGAAUAUAGCGUUUUAUUGUGAAAUUUGUAAAGCAAUUUUUCAAGAGACAACUCCACAGAAACAUGAAGCUUCUACCUUGCAUAUCUUCAACACAAAGCCUAAAUUGAAACACACAAUGUAUGGAAUAUCAAAGCAAAAUAAAGGAUACAAAAUGCUUUUAAACACUGGAUGGGAUGAAGAAGCUGGUCUUGGACCUUCUGGAAAAGGAAUAAAAUAUCCAAUUAAAACAUGUUUGAAAAUGGAUCGUAAAGGACUAGGACAAUCAGCAGAGAGUGAAUACAGAGUUACUCAUUUUAAGCCAAGUGAUACAACUGCCAUUAACGGCACUAAAACAUCCAAGCAGAAACCACUGAAAAAAAGAGACAGAGAAAAACUACUUCAUAGAGAAGCUAGGAAAGAAAGAGCUUUACGUAUUGCAUUAUCUUAAAAUAGAUAUAAAUAAUUUUAUAAAUAUGAAUGUGGCGUUUAUUUAAAGAUUCAAUGGAAUGAAAAUAAUUGUUAUUGUUCUUAUAUAUUCAUGCUUAUGGCGAAUGAUCAACAAAAAUUAUUGGAACAUUUAGAACAAGUUGAACACAAAGCUGGUGAGAUUCUCACUGAUCGCGAGGAAUUAAUCGCGUUGGACAAACAAAGAAACUAUGAUCGUGUUGGAAUGAGAGCAUUAGAAAAACAGUCGUG